rnacentral:lncRNA from 1 species
AUGAAGAAGACGGCUCUGUCCUCAGAGGGUCGUAUGGUUCUCUUCUCUGUCCUCUCUGUCCUCUCUUUUCUCUCUUUUCUCUCUGUUCUCUGUUCUCUCUGUUCUCUGUUCUCUGUUCUCUGUUCUCUCUGUUCUCUCUGUUCUCUCUGUUCUCUGUUCUCUGUUCUCAAUGUUCUCUCUGUUCUCUCUGUUCUCUGUUCUCUCUGUUCUCUCUGUUCUCUCUGUUCUCUGUUCUCUGUUCUCUCUGUUCUCUCUGUUCUCUGUUCUCUGUUCUCUCUGUUCUCUCUGUUCUCUGUUCUCUGUUCUCUGUUCUCUGUUCUAUCUGUUCUCUGUUCUCUCUGUUCUCUGUUCUCUGUUCUCUCUGUUCUCUGUUCUCUAUGUUCUCUCUGUUCUCUGUUCUCUGUUCUCUCUGUUCUCUCUGUUCUCUGUUCUCUGUUCUCUGUUCUCUGUUCUCUCUGUUCUCUGUUCUCUCUGUUCUAUCUGUUCUCUGUUCUCUGUUCUCUCUGUUCUCUCUGUUCUCUGUUCUCUGUUCUCUGUUCUCUGUUCUCUCUGUUCUCUGUUCUCUGUUCUCUGUUCUCUCUGUUCUCUGUUCUCUGUUCUCUCUGUUCUCUGUUCUCUGUUCUCUCUGUUCUCUGUUCUCUCUGUUCUCUGUUCUCUGUUCUAUCUGUUCUCUGUUCUCUGUUCUCUCUGUUCUCUCUGUUCUCUGUUCUCUGUUCUCUGUUCUCUGUUCUCUGUUCUCUGUUCUCUGUUCUCUCUGUUCUCUGUUCUCUGUUCUCUGUUCUCUGUUCUCUGUUCUCUCUGUUCUCUGUUCUCUGUUCUCUCUGUUCUCUGUUCUCUCUGUUCUCUGUUCUCUGUUCUCUAUGUUCUCUGUUCUCUGUUCUCUCUGUUCUCUGUUCUCUAUGUUCUCUGUUCUCUGUUCUCUGUUCUCUGUUCUCUGUUCUCUCUUUUCUCUGUUCUCUCUGUUCUCUGGUCUCUGUUCUCUGUUCUCUGUUCUCUCUGUUCUCUGUUCUCUCUGUUCUCUCUGUUCUCUGUUCUCUGUUCUCUCUGUUCUCUCUGUUCUCUGUUCUCUGUUCUCUCUGUUCUCUCUGUUCUCUGUUCUCUGUUCUCUGUUCUCUGUUCUAUCUGUUCUCUGUUCUCUCUGUUCUCUGUUCUCUGUUCUCUCUGUUCUCUGUUCUCUAUGUUCUCUCUGUUCUCUGUUCUCUGUUCUCUCUGUUCUCUCUGUUCUCUGUUCUCUGUUCUCUGUUCUCUGUUCUCUCUGUUCUCUGUUCUCUCUGUUCUAUCUGUUCUCUGUUCUCUGUUCUCUCUGUUCUCUCUGUUCUCUCUGUUCUCUGUUCUCUGUUCUCUGUUCUCUGUUCUCUCUGUUCUCUGUUCUCUGUUCUCUGUUCUCUCUGUUCUCUGUUCUCUGUUCUCUGUUCUCUCUGUUCUCUGUUCUCUGUUCUCUCUGUUCUCUGUUCUCUCUGUUCUCUGUUCUCUGUUCUAUCUGUUCUCUGUUCUCUGUUCUCUCUGUUCUCUCUGUUCUCUGUUCUCUGUUCUCUGUUCUCUGUUCUCUGUUCUCUGUUCUCUGUUCUCUCUGUUCUCUGUUCUCUGUUCUCUGUUCUCUGUUCUCUCUGUUCUCUGUUCUCUGUUCUCUCUGUUCUCUGUUCUCUCUGUUCUCUGUUCUCUGUUCUCUAUGUUCUCUGUUCUCUGUUCUCUCUGUUCUCUGUUCUCUAUGUUCUCUGUUCUCUGUUCUCUGUUCUCUGUUCUCUGUUCUCUCUUUUCUCUGUUCUCUCUGUUCUCUGGUCUCUGUUCUCUGUUCUCUGUUCUCUCUGUUCUCUGUUCUCUCUGUUCUCUCUGUUCUCUGUUCUCUCUGUUCUCUGUUCUCUGUUCUCUAUGUUCUCUGUUCUCUAUGUUCUCUGUUCUCUGUUCUCUCUGUUCUCUGUUCUCUGUUCUCUGUUCUGUCUGUUCUCUGUUCUCUGUUCUCUCUGUUCUCUGGUCUCUGUGCUUUUCUCUGUUUUCUCUAUUCUCUGUCCUCUGUUCUCUCUGUUCUCUCUGUUCUCUGUUCUCUGUUUUCUGUUCUCUCUGUUCUCUGUUCUCUGUUCUCUGUUCUCUCUGUUCUCUAUUCUCUGUUCUCUGUUCUCUCUGUUCUCUAUGUUCUCUCUGAUCUCUGUUCUCUUUGUUCUCUGUUCUCUGUUCUCUCUGUUCUCUCUGUUCUCUAUGUUCUCUAUGUUCUCUGUUCUCUGUUCUCUCUUCUCUUUGUUCUCUGUUCUCUGUUCUCUAUGUUCUCUCUGUUCUCUGUUCUCUGUUCUCUCUGUUCUCUCUGUUCUCUGUUCUCUCUGUUCUCUGUUCUUAACCUAUGACCUUUUGGUAUGA